rnacentral:rRNA from 1 species
AUACAUGAGCAAAAUCUCAACUUUAUUAGAAGAGACGCAUUUAUUAGAUAAAAAGCCAAUGCAUGCUUUUACAGUAUGGAAAUUGGUGAUUUAUAAUAACUUGGCAAAUCGCAAAGUGAAAACAGGCGAUAAAUCAUUCAAGUUUCUGACCUAUCAGCUUUCGACGGUAUGGUAUUGGCUUACCGUGGCAGUGACGGUUAACGGGGGAUUAGGGUUCGAUUCCGGAGAGGGAGCCUGAGAAACGGCUACCACAUCUAAGGAAGGCAGCAGGCGCGCAAAUUACCCAAUUCUAACAGUUUGAGAGAGGUAGUAACAAGAAAUAACAAUACAAGGCAAUUAAAAUGCUUUGUAAUUGGAAUGAUAGAAAUUUAAACCCCUUUUAAAGUAUCAAUUGGAGGGCAAGUCUGGUGCCAGCAGCCGCGGUAAUUCCAGCUCCAAUAGCGUAUAUUAAAAUUGUUGCAGUUAAAAAGCUCGUAGUUGAAGUUCUGCUAAAAGUAACCGGUCUGCUUUUAAUAAAAGUGGUAUCUUGGUGUGUAUUUAGCAAUGAUGUCCUUUGAAGUGUUUUUUACUUUAUUGUAAUAAAGCAUAUUCAGGACUUUUACUUUGAGAAAAUUAGAGUGUUUCUAGCAGGCCGACGCUUUGAAUACUGCAGCAUGGAAUAAUAAG